AUAAGUCCUUCAAUAGGAAAAAACUUCUUCACCCAGAAUCUAUUCCAGUUUCCUGUUAUUCAGAAUAGGAUAUGAUAUUACUUUGGAAUAUAUGCUCUUCAUCUUGCUUUUUGAAAUGACUAUCAUAGGCAUCCUCCCAAAAUCCUACUGCUCCCUCAUGAUGUAGAAGUGACCCAAGCAGGGAAAGCUUUGAGUGGGUACAAAUGAAACAUUGCAUAUCCAUCACCAAGGACCUUGACGCUCCUUCCUCUUGGCACGUUUCUCCUUUAAGCCCUCCAUUCGUGCCUCUUCGACCGCCUUCCACCUGGAAACCGAUGUCCUCAUUGCGGGAGAACAUGCAGAUCAAGAAUAGGUCUCUUCAGUCACCUGCGGACACACACCCAAGACACCGGAAACGGAGGACCAUCAGCCUCGACCUACGAGGGAACGCCUAAACAGUUCUGAAUAGCCCCUUGCAUAGAAACAGAGGGGAGGAAAGCUAAAUGACCCAAAAUGAAACUUGCUCUGUAGUGACUUUAGAAGCUGAUCUGGCUCCCAUUCCAGGAGAAAUGUGGCAUGUAAAUGAGAUAAACAAAGUACAUUUAUGCACCUAUCACUAGUAGCUACUUUUACCAAAAGGAGAGUUUCUUCUGGCUUUCAAGCCCCAACUGAGUGCUGUCUGAGAGCCAGGAUGCUUCCAGCUGAAGGACUAUAAGAGCUACUUCAUUAAUACAUCAUUUUCUGGUAAGAAAAAAAGAGAAGAUAUGAUGGAGAAAAACAGGAGGCUUACAAUAUGAAGGACGAGACUAGGAUUUGGAAGGACAGCUAUGAAGCAGUAGACAGACAAUAUCAUGAAGUGCAAAGACAUGUCAUUGAAGAAUGGCCAUGUAGUUAUAUUUCCCAUUUCUAUACAUGGUUGUGAAAGCUGGAGAUUGAAGAGAACUGGAAGAAAAUCAAUACAUCUGAAAUGUGGUACCAGAGAAGAGUUCUGCUGAUAUCAUCAGCUGACAAAAAGACAAAUCAGUGGGUUCUAGAAAAUCAAGUCUGCACUGUCACUAGAAGCCAGGAUGACUUGACUUUAAUUGAAAUUAUCAUGAAAGGAAGCCAUGCCCCUGAAUCUGCAAGCCUGGAACAGGGCUCUCGUUGAUGGGAUGACUUUAAGAUCUCCUCCUAUUCAUUGAGUCAUCAUAAGUCGAAGUCGACUUAGAGCUGCUAACAACAAACCUUGCAGGGUUGUAAUAAGGAUUAUAGAAAGUCAACACAGGAAGCACUUGAGACACAUAAUAUGUUACACAAAUAAAUAUUAUA